UACAGAGGCCCCAAGCGUUAGGCGGAAUCACUGGGCUUAAAGCGUGUGUAGGCGGACUUCUAAGUACCUUGUGAAAUCCCACGGCUUAACCGUGGAACUGCUUGGUAUACUGGUCGUCUUGAGCCACUUAGGGGUUACCGGAACAAAUGGUGGAGCGGUGAAAUGCGUAGAUAUCGGGAGGAAUACCGAUGGCGAAGGCAGGUCUCUGGGCUAUAACUGACGCUCAUGCACGAAAGCGUGGGGAGCAAACAGG
rnacentral:rRNA from 1 species